AGCAGUAUGGUCUUGAUGGUAUUGACAUCGAUUAUGAGCAUUUCAACGGGGACCCUAAUACGUUUGCUGAGUGUAUCGGGCAGCUGGUGACGACGCUGAAGAAGAACGGCGUGGUGUCGUUUGCGUCCAUUGCCCCGUUCGAUGAUGAUCAGGUGCAGAGUCACUACUUGGCGCUAUGGAAGAAGUACGGACAGCAGAUAGACUAUGUGAACUUCCAGUUCUAUGCUUACUCUUCAGGGACGACGGUGUCACAGUUUCUCAAUUACUUUCAGACCCAGAGCUCUAAUUACGCAGGCG
rnacentral:misc_RNA from 1 species